AGAGUUUGAUCCUGGCUCAGGACGAACGCUGGCGGCGUGCUUAACACAUGCAAGUCGAGCGGAAAGGCCCUUUCGGGGGUACUCGAGCGGCGAACGGGUGAGUAACACGUGAGUAACCUGCCCUUGACUUUGGGAUAACCCUCGGAAACGGGGGCUAAUACCGGAUAUGACCCUGGGGUGCAUGCUUUGGGGUGGAAAGCUUUUGCGGUUGGGGAUGGACUCGCGGCCUAUCAGCUUGUUGGUGGGGUAAUGGCCUACCAAGGCGACGACGGGUAGCCGGCCUGAGAGGGCGACCGGCCACACUGGGACUGAGACACGGCCCAGACUCCUACGGGAGGCAGCAGUGGGGAAUAUUGCACAAUGGGCGGAAGCCUGAUGCAGCGACGCCGCGUGAGGGAUGACGGCCUUCGGGUUGUAAACCUCUUUCAGCAGGGACGAAGCGAGAGUGACGGUACCGCAGAAGAAGGCCCA
rnacentral:rRNA from 1 species